rnacentral:rRNA from 1 species
GACGAACGCUGGCGGCGUGCCUAAUACAUGCAAGUCGAGCGGACUUGAAGGAGCUUGCUCCUGAUAGUCAGCGGCGGACGGGUGAGUAACACGUGGGCAACCUGCCUGUAAGACUGGGAUAACUUCGGGAAACCGGAGCUAAUACCGGAUACGUUCUUUUCUCGCAUGAGAGAAGAUCGAAAGACGGUUUCGGCUGUCACUUACAGAUGGGACCGGGGCGCAUUAGCUAGUUGGUGGGGUAAUGGCCCACCAAGGCAACGAUGCGUAGGCGACCUGGGAGGGUGGUCGGCCACACUGGGACUGAGACACGGCCCAGACUCCUACGGGAGGCAGCAGUAGGGAAUCUUCCGCAAUGGACGAAAGUCUGACGGAGCAACGCCGCGUGAGUGAAGAAGGUUUUCGGAUCGUAAAACUCUGUUGUCAGGGAAGAACAAGUACCAUAGUAACUGAUGGUACCUUGACGGUACCUGACCAGAAAGCCACGGCUAACUACGUGCCAGCCGCCGCAGUAAGAC